rnacentral:rRNA from 1 species
AUGGCUGGCGGCGAGGCCGCCGCCAGGAGAUCCGACUUCGCCGACGGGAAUGGGGCCGGAUCCGCCACGCCCGAGCGCUCCAUCCUCGUCGACAGGGACGACUACAUCCUAGUAGGUCAGAGCGCUCCAUCUGGUGGGUCCGAGCGCUCCAUCCUCAACAGGGACGACGGGGACGACUACAUCCUCGACAGGGCGGCCUACAUCCGCCAGCCCUACCGCGGGAUCACCGAUGCCUUUGCCCGCGUCCUCCGCGAGGAGUGUGCCGCCGCGCUCUGGUGCGGGAACCAGGCCAACGUCAUCCGAUACUUCCCCACCCUGGAGGGCGAGCUGGAGGAGCUUGAGAAGGGCGUGGAGCCUGCGUGGGAGCGCUUGGUCCACAUGCUCGAGCGCAUCAUCGACAGGCUGAACGUCAUAGGCCACAUCAAGGCCGUCAAGGACUCGCCCGACCUCCGUGCCACCGUCGAGGAUGUCGAGGCUGACAAGGACACUGACGAGGUCUAUGCACAGAUGACUCUGCAACCAGUAAACUCUCGGCUACUGUGUCUUGGAAGUUGCUUAGAGCUGGAGGAAUGGAUGCAUGCAGAGGUGGAUAGAACGACAACUGCAGAGUAG